ensembl:lncRNA
GGAGUGGCAAGCCCUAGGAGAGGCUCUGAUGGUACAUGUUUGUCAUCGAGGUUUCAGAAAGCAACUUUAGAAAGCAAAGCAGCAGUCAGCUGGCAGCCAGGACAGCAGGGAAGGAAGGGAGCGGCCAUUGGGCUCAGCCCAAGGACUCUUCUUUAAUGGCUCCCUUUCUGGGUUUUCAUUGUGCUAACCCAGAUAGGGACCAUCUUCUCAGCACAGUGGGCUUCUCUUGCCACGUGUUUCUCUCAGACAAGAGGAAUUCUCCAAGAGGCUCCUCCAUAGCGGGAAGCCCUGGCUGCAGCCAGCCUUCCAGGAACAGAGGCCAGAUAUGCCUGAGCUACACCCGGAUCUGGACCUGGCACACAAGUCACAGGGCUGGGACACAAACACACAUCACCACACCCAGCUCUGUAUAUGGAUGGAUGCUGAAGACUCUACUCUGGCCCUCAACGCUGUAUGCCAAGCACAUUACUGAGAGAACAUCUCCCAAGCCCUGUGUUCACUCCCCUCCAAGAUACCUAACUGAU